rnacentral:rRNA from 1 species
UACGUAGGGGGCAAGCGUUGUCCGGAUUUACUGGGCGUAAAGAGCUCGUAGGUGGUUCGGUAGUCGGAUGUGAAAUCUCCAGGCUCAACCUGGAGGGGUCAUUCGAUACUGCCGUGACUAGAGGUCGGUAGGGGAGUGUGGAAUUCCUGGUGGAGCGGUGAAAUGCGUAGAUAUCAGGAGGAACACCGAUGGCGAAGGCAGGUCUCUGGGCUGACACUGACGCUCAUGCACGAAAGCGUGGGGAGCAAACAGG